GAUGAACGCUGGCGGCGUGCAUAACACAUUCAAGUCGAACGGGGCAGCAAUGCCUAGUGGCGGACGGGUGAGUAACGCGUGAGCAACCUGCCUGUGUGAGGGGGACAACAGCCGGAAACAGCUGCUAAUACCGCAUGAAGUAUUCGAAUCGCAUGGUUUGGAUACCAAAGAUUUAUCGCACACAGAUGGGCUCGCGUCCGAUUAGCUAGAUGGUGAGGUAACGGCUCACCAUGGCGACGAUCGGUAGCCGGACUGAGAGGUUGAACGGCCACAUUGGAACUGAGAUACGGUCCAGACUCCUACGGGAGGCAGCAGUGGGGAAUAUUGGGCAAUGGGCGAAAGCCUGACCCAGCGACGCCGCGUGAAGGAAGACGGUCUUCGGAUUGUAAACCUCAAACAACAAGGAAGAAACAAAUGACUGUACCUGUUAGGAAGCCACGGCUAACUACGUGCCAGCAGCCGCGGUAAAAC
rnacentral:rRNA from 1 species